GACGGGCCCGCACAAGCAGCGGAGCGUGUGGUUUAAUUCGAUGUUACACGAAGAACCUUACCAGGGUUUGACAUGCAAGUGGUAGGAAGCCGAAAGGUGACCGACCCUUCGGGGAGCUUGCACAGGUGCUGCAUGGCUGUCGUCAGCUCGUGUCGUGAGAUGUUCGGUUAAGUCCGCUAACGAGCGCAACCCUCGCUGUGUGUUAUAUGUGUCACACGGGACUGCCGGUCUUAAGCCGGAGGAAGGUGGGGAUGAUGUCAAGUCAGCAUGGCCUUUAUAUCCUGGGCUACACACACGCUACAAUGGUCUGUACAAUGGGUAGCCAAGCCGCGAGGCGGAGCCAAUCCUGAAAGCAGGCCUCAGUUCAGAUUGCAGUCUGCAACUCGACUGCAUGAAGCCGGAGUUGCUAGUAACCGCAGGUCAGCAAUACUGCGGUGAAUACGUUCCCGGGUCUU
rnacentral:rRNA from 1 species